UACGUAGGGAGCAAGCGUUGUCCGGAAUCAUUGGGCGUAAAGCGCACGUAGGCGGCUUUUUAAGUCAGAGGUGAAAUCCUGGAGCUCAACUCCAGAACUGCCUUUGAUACUGGAGAGCUUGAGUCCGGGAGAGGUGAGUGGAACUGCGAGUGUAGAGGUGAAAUUCGUAGAUAUUCGCAAGAACACCAGUGGCGAAGGCGGCUCACUGGCCCGGUACUGACGCUGAGGUGCGAAAGCGUGGGGAGCAAACAGG
rnacentral:rRNA from 1 species